GGAUAGUUGCUCGAGAGGCUGAAGAGGUUAGUCUCGAAAACUAAUAAUGUUUUCUAACAUUCAAGGGUUCAAAUCCCUUACUAUCCGCCA
rnacentral:tRNA from 2 species